rnacentral:rRNA from 1 species
AUUGAACGCUGGCGGCAGGCCUAACACAUGCAAGUCGAACGAGUGGCGGACGGGUGAGUAAUGUCUGGGAAACUGCCCGAUGGGGGGGGAUAACUACUGGAAACGGUAGCUAAUACCGCAUACCAUCAGAUGUGCCCAGAUGGGAUUAGCUAGUAGGUGGGGUAACGGCUCACCUAGGCGACGAUCCCUAGCUGGGCUGAGAGGAUGACCAGCCACACGGGAACUGAGACACGGUCCAGACUCCUACGGGAGGCAGCAGUGGGGAAUAUUGCACAAUGGGCGCAAGCCUGAUGCAGCCAUGCCGCGUGUAGGAAGAAGGCCUUCGGGUUGUAAAGUACUUUCAGCGAGGAGGCGUUACUCGCAGAAGAAGCACCGGCUAACUCCGUGCCAGCAGCCGCGGUAAUUC